UUGACCGUUCAUAUGAACCCUG
rnacentral:miRNA from 1 species